GAUGAACGCUGGCGGCGUGCCUAAUACAUGCAAGUCGAGCGAACAGAUGAGGAGCUUGCUCCUUUGACGUUAGCGGCGGACGGGUGAGUAACACGUAGGUAACCUACCUAUAAGACUAGGAUAACUUCGGGAAACCGGAGCUAAUACCGGAUAAUAUUUCGAACUGCAUGGUUCGAAAGUGAAAGAUGGCUUUGCUAUCACUUAUAGAUGGACCUGCGCCGUAUUAGCUAGUUAGUAAGGUAACGGCUUGCCAAGGCAACGAUACGUAGCCGACCUGAGAGGGUGAUCGGCCACACUGGAACUGAGACACGGUCCAGACUCCUACGGGAGGCAGCAGUAGGGAAUCUUCCGCAAUGGGCGCAAGCCUGACGGAGCAACGCCGCGUGAGUGAUGAAGGUCUUCGGAUCGUAAAACUCUGUUAUUAGGGAAGAACAAACGUGUAAGUAACUGUGCACGUCUUGACGGUACCUAAUCAGAAAGCCACGGCUAACUACGUGCCAGCCGCCGCAGUAA
rnacentral:rRNA from 1 species